rnacentral:rRNA from 1 species
AUGGGCGGCUACGCGGAUCCCUUCAUGCCUCCGCAGCCGGCCUCGUCGUCGUCGUACGCCGUGCCGCAGGGCGGGCAUGGGCAGCCGCAGCCGCAGCCCGCGCCGCGCCCGCCGGGCUGUCCGUACUCCUCCUCCGCCUCGGCUCCGCCGGUUUCCACGUCCUACCAUUCUUUGCCCCCCGCGGCGUCCCCUCCGCCGGUAAGUAGCCCCCCUCCGGCCUCCCCGCCACCCGAGCCAUUGCCUUCACCUCCUCCAGCAUUGCCUUCCUCGCCGCCACCGCCGGCAUUGUCGCCUCCGCCGCCCGACGCGCCCCCUCCGUCGCUCCCACCGCCGUCCCCAUCGCCCUCGCCGCCUCCCGCCGAGGUUCAGGCGCCACCGCCGCCGNNNNNNNNNNNNNNNNNNNNNNNNNNNNNNNNNGUGUACCCGUCGCCGCCUCCCCCGUCCCUCCCCCCGCCGCCGCCAGUAGUCCUCUCGCCACCAGCCCCGCCUCCAUCCCACCCGCCAUCGCCAUCGCCUACUCCAGCUCCAGCUCCAGCACCCACGCCGGUUGCAGUCUAUUCGCCUCCCCCGCCAAGAGUUGCAUCUCCCCCGCCGCCGCGCCAUCAUACUAAGCCACAUUACGCGCCGCCGCGCUCGCCUGGGAGGUCACACUUAAACUCGACCCGCUCAAAUGGCAGCGGCAAGAACAUCGAAAUAUCGAGGGAAACUGCCACCACCAUUGUAGCAAUUGCCGGUCUUGCAAUGCUCAGCUUCAUCGGUGCCACCAUUUGGCUUGUCAAGAAGAAGCGACGGCGGGCAGAGCCUCCCUCAGCACUGCCUACACAGCAGCAACCAGCUCCCCCGCCGCCACCACCCAAUUACAUUCCCUCGUCUGCUGGAUCCUCACUAGCAUCAGAUGGGUUCUACUUACGAUCACCGGGCUAUCCCUUCAUGAGGUCCAGUACUGGGAGCCAUGGGUUCCCCUACUCGCCGGCAGACUCCGGGAUAGGGUACUCGAGGAUGCUGUUCACGCCGGAGAAUUUGGCAGGAAUCUCAAAUGACUUUUCGGAUGAGAACCUUUUGGGAGAAGGUGGAUUUGGGUGUGUGUACAAGGGUAUCUUGCCAGAUGGUCGCCCUGUGGCUAUCAAGAAGCUGAAGAUUGGCAAUGGGCAGGGAGAGCGUGAGUUCAGGGCCGAAGUUGAUACUAUCAGCAGAGUACAUCAUAGACAUUUGGUUUCACUAGUAGGCUAUUGCGUAUCAGAGGGCCAGAGGAUGCUUGUAUAUGAUUUUGUUCCCAAUAACACGCUUUAUUACCAUCUCCAUGUAAAUGAAGUACCACUUGAUUGGCGUACGAGGGUCAAGAUUGCGGCCGGAGCAGCUCGUGGAAUUGCUUACCUGCACGAAGAUUGUCAUCCACGGAUUAUACAUAGAGAUAUUAAAUCAUCUAAUAUUUUAUUGGAUAACAACUUCGAAGCUCAGGUUUCUGAUUUUGGACUUGCAAGGUUAGCUGCCGACUCCAACACGCAUGUCACAACACGUGUCAUGGGAACAUUUGGGUAUUUGGCUCCAGAGUAUGCAUUGUCUGGGAAGUUGACAGCAAAAUCUGAUCUAUAUUCUUUUGGAGUUGUUCUUUUGGAACUUAUUACCGGAAGAAAACCUGUUGAUUCUUCUCAACCGCUGGGAGAUGAGAGUCUUGUCGAAUGGGCCCGGCCCUUUCUCUCACAAGCAAUCGAGCAUCGAGACUUUGGGGACCUUCCCGAUCCGAGGAUGGAAAACAAGUUUGAAGAAAAUGAGAUGUAUCAUAUGAUAGGAGCCGCGGCUGCAUGCAUUCGUCAUUCUGCGGUGAUGAGACCACGGAUGGGGCAGGUGGUAAGAGCACUGGAUAGUUUAGCCGACUCUAACCUAAACAACGGCCUUCAACCGGGGCGCAGCGAGGUCUUCUUGGAGCCGCGAACCGAGGAGAUCAGGUUGUUCCAGCUGAGAGAGUUCGGCAGCCGGGAGUGCAGCGACGAGCUGAGCCAGGCUAGCUGGAGGAGCCGGAGAGACCUGUGA